ensembl:snRNA U6 U6 spliceosomal RNA
GUGCUCACUUCGGCAGCACAUAUACUAGAAUUGGAAUGAUACAGAGAAGAUUAGCAUGGCCCCUGUACAAGGGUGGCACACAAAUUCAUGAAGUGUUCCAUUAAAAA